UUAAAAUGGCUUACAACAGUUUUAAAAGGGUUCAGGAGGUGUAUACCAUAAAUGUGCAAAUUUAAUUUAUUUUUUUGCAUCAAUAUUCUGAUAACAAA